CAAAUACUCCCUCCGUCCCAUAUUAAUUGUCGCUCAAACGGAUGUAUCUAGACGUAUUUCAGUGCUAGAUACAUCCGUUUGAGCGACAAUUAAUAUGGGAUGGAGGGAGUACAUU
rnacentral:pre_miRNA from 1 species